rnacentral:lncRNA from 1 species
CAAUCAUCCCCGUUUACUACCAGUCUAAUUAUAGUACAAAGAAAGAUCGGAAUCCCUUAAUUUUCGAGUUCGUUUAUGCAUGGUAGGUCAACUCAGUCAUCAAUUCAACAACACAAUGUGCAUUUUAAUUGUACUUGUUCAAAAUAUUACAAUUAACGGGCAUCUUCCCUUCUUAAGCAAAAGCUGAUGCAAUAAAGCACUGACCG